CCUCAAUGGAAAAAUGUAUUCUUUGAAAUCUUAAUGUCCUCUGGCUCACAAAAUAUUGAGAGAUGUUUUCACUGAUGCUGCUGUGAGUGCCCUAGCAACUGCCUUUCUGUCCAUUUCACACUCAUGCCUAGCAGCUACAUGUGGCCCCAUUCCCAGGCCAGGAAUGCUCACAGUGGACGCUGUUCUGAAGACGUCUUUUCUAAGCCCCAGAGCAAGAUGCACUAUCUCAUGGCCAGUUCAUGGGCUUCAAAGCUUGAUGGAAGCAAAGUCAACAGUCUUGUCUCCUUGAGUGGCACAUACUCAAGGGUUCAUUGCUUUCCUUUACUUCUACAAAACAUUAACUUUACUGGGUCACUGCAUCUCAUUGCAAUAAUCUGGCCAUCUCUUAAGUACCUCCUUGUGAUAACAUCUUAGUAGUUACAGCAUGUGCUUUUAUAGAAUGUAUUUGUUUCAUUUCUCACAACACUGUACACUGCUUUUCCCAACCCCUGAAAAGUGUAGACUUCAAUAAUCUACUGCCUCCAGGACUAUAACCUGCAAGGAACCUAUCUACAACUUCACUGCCUGCAUCUCAUUCUUCCUACCCGUCCUUCAAACACACACACACCCCUUGACAUUUACCCACUGAAACUUUUCCCCAGAUUUCCAAAACACUGUCCCAAGUCGCUGCCUUAUGUGUGUCAGUCACAUUCCCCUUAGGAAAUGAUUUCAGGAGAGUUCAAAAAAUAGACUACUACAGAGCUGAGGAUUGAGGAAAAGCCUAGUGUGAUGCAAUGGCCCCAGGGCUACCAAGAGCAGAAAAUUAUUACAACCUUCAGAAAUAUUCUCAGUUUUGAUUUACAAUGACAAGGAAACUUUGGGAUUUUUGUUAGCUGUGGCAGCCACAGAAGCAUACCAUUCAGUUCCCCAGUGAAGAAAGGAGUAGACUUGGGAAAUGCAAGCGUGGGGCUAGCUGACGGCUUCCAGGAGUGAGAAUUGUGAGAGUAUUCGGCUUUU
rnacentral:lncRNA from 1 species